rnacentral:rRNA from 1 species
AGUGUAGCGGUGAAAUGCGUAGAUAUUAGGAGGAAUACCAGUGGCGAAGGCGACUUGCUGGACAUAUACUGACGCUGAGGAACGAAAGCAUGGGUAGCAAACAGGAUUAGAUACCCUGGUAGUCCAUGCUGUAAACGAUGAGUGCUAGGUGUCGGGGGUGACCUCGGUGCCGUAGUUAACACAAUAAGCACUCCGCCUGGGGAGUACGUGCGCAAGCAUGAAACUCAAAGGAAUUGACGGGGACCCGCACAAGCAGCGGAGCAUGUGGUUUAAUUCGAAGCAACGCGAAGAACCUUACCAGGACUUGACAUAAUAUUGACCGGUAUAGAGAUAUACCUUUCUCUUCGGAGACAGUAUUACAGGUGGUGCAUGGUUGUCGUCAGCUCGUGUCGUGAGAUGUUGGGUUAAGUCCCGCAACGAGCGCAACCCUUAUCUUUAGUUGCCAGCACGUAAUGGUGGGAACUCUAAAGAGACUGCCGUCGAUAAGACGGAGGAAGGUGGGGAUGACGUCAAAUCAUCAUGCCCUUUAUGUCCUGGGCUACACACGUGCUACAAUGGUUGGAACAAAGAGAAGCUAAACAGCAAUGUCAUGCAAAUCUCAUAAAGCCAAUCUCAGUUCGGAUUGUAGGCUGCAACUCGCCUACAUGAAGUCGGAGUUGCUAGUAAUCGCAGAUCAGAAUGCUGCGGUGAAUGCGUUCCCGGGUCUUGUACACACCGCCCGUCACACCAUGGAAGUUGGCAAUACCCGAAGCCGUCGAGCUAACCGUAAGGAAGCAGGCGUCGAAGGUAGGGUUAAUGACUGGGGUGAAGUCGUAANCAAGGUAACCGAAAGGGCGAANUCGUAACCCGC